AUCAUAUUCGGGAUUUAAAGUCUUAACCAUAGACUGUAUCUAGAAUAGACACCGUCUGCCUCCUCUCUGUGAGAACAGCGCCCUCUGGUGACGGGCUGCAGUAUAGGUCCUAAACCCCGCCUCCUUAUGGAGCUGUGGACAAACUUUAUAAAUGAAUGACACAGAAUAUAAAUGUUUCUCCCCCCUGGUUGUGAUGUUGACAUGUAGUUACUGUCAGACUGGUUUGUGCUCAAGUCCUCUUUUUUCUGUACAGCUCCAUUUUUAAAAGUUAUUAGGGGGUUCAUGUUUUCUAUGAUUGACACCUGAUACAGCCUAUGGGAGGACAGAGAUUGAGUAGAUCACCGGGGGAUACGCUGUUUGAGCCGACUCUCCCGCCGAAUGCGUACAACACUACUGCGCAAUGUUGGUUUCAGGAAGUGGAUAAAAAAACACGGAAUUACUGAGAACUUUUCGGCUUCAAAACCGUAUAGUGGAGGAAGGAGGAACCAAGUUGUCUUUAGUAAAUACAGUCUAUGGUGGUGACGCUCUGGAGGAUGUAGAACAUUUUAGAGAAUAUCACCGAACAUUCCGUAACAUCAAAGACAUUCUAAAAGAUCAACAACAUUCCGG